GCCCUCCUGUGGCGCAUUGGAUCAGUGCGUCUGGCUGUUAACCAGAAGGUUGAUGGUUUAAGGCCACGCAGGGACA